rnacentral:rRNA from 1 species
UACGUAGGGGGCGAGCGUUGUCCGGAUUCAUUGGGCGUAAAGAGCUCGUAGGCGGCUUGGCAAGUCGGGUGUGAAACCUCCAGGCUCAACCUGGAGACGCCACUCGAGACUGCUAUGGCUAGAGUCUGGUAGGGGAUCACGGAAUUCCUGGUGUAGCGGUGAAAUGCGCAGAUAUCAGGAGGAACACCGGUGGCGAAGGCGGUGAUCUGGGCCAGUACUGACGCUGAGGAGCGAAAGCGUGGGGAGCAAACAGG